AGCCUCUGCCCAGGAUCGUCACAAUUCAGCGAGGAGGUUCUGCCCAUAACUGUGGACAGCUCAAGGUGGGCCACGUAAUUCUGGAAGUGAAUGGGCAGACACUUCGGGGUAAGGAGCACAAGGAGGCCGCCCGAAUCAUCGCUGAGGCCUUCAAGACCAAGGAGAGAGACUACAUCGACUUUCUGGUCACUGAGUUCAACGUGAUGCUCUAGGGGUGGGGCCAAGUUCAGGGCUAUCAGCCGGGGUCACAGGCAGAGUCUCCCACCCCACCCUGACACAUACACCCUGCCUGGGCCCUUGGCCCAGACUAGGAGAAGAAGAGGGCCAGACAAGGCAAGCAGAAAGUCAGGUUAAAACCUGUGUGCCAGAAACACAGUAGGGGCUCAAUAAAACUAUGUUAGGUGAAGGGAAGGAAGGCAGAGUACAUUUCUCUAGGCUGGAGAGGGGUACUGCCACCCCAGAUGCCUAGGCCUUUGGCUGUGAGGACACAGGAGAGUUCACACAGACUGCUUCCUGCCAGGAGGACCUUCAGUGCCACAAAUGAGCCGCCAGCACGCUUGUUCACACCAGUCGCACCCCCUUCCUCCUGGCUCCGUGCCCCUAUGGUAUUUAUUUAUUUAUUUAUUUCCCUUCCUGUGCUUCAGGGGAGCCCCCCCCCCAAAGGCCCCAGCUUCCCUUUGCACUCCCAGCCUAUCCCAGAGGCCUUGCAGGCGACCAGCAAUGUCAGUGUAUUUAUAUACAGAGCUUAUGACUUUAAUUUUUCAAUAAAUAAAUCUGAACAAGG
rnacentral:lncRNA from 1 species